UACGAAGGGGGCUAGCGUUGUUCGGAAUUACUGGGCGUAAAGCGCACGUAGGCGGAUAUUUAAGUCAGGGGUGAGAUCCCGCAGCUCAACUGCGGAACUGCCUUUGAUACUGGGUAUCUUGAGUAUGGAAGAGGUAAGUGGAAUUCCGAGUGUAGAGGUGAAAUUCGUAGAUAUUCGGAGGAACACCAGUGGCGAAGGCGGCUUACUGGUCCAUUACUGACGCUGAGACGCGAAAGCGUGGGGAGCAAACAGG
rnacentral:rRNA from 1 species